UACGAAGGGUGCAAGCGUUACUCGGAAUUACUGGGCGUAAAGCGUGCGUAGGUGGUUCGUUAAGUCUGAUGUGAAAGCCCUGGGCUCAACCUGGGAAUGGCAUUGGAUACUGGCGACCUAGAGUGCGGUAGAGGGGUGUGGAAUUCCCGGUGUAGCGGUGAAAUGCGUAGAUAUCUGGAGGAACACCGGUGGCGAAGGCGGCAUCCUGGACCGGCAUUGACGCUGAGGAGCGAAAGCCAGGGGAGCAAACGGG
rnacentral:rRNA from 1 species